GAUGAACGCUGGCGGCGUGCCUAAUACAUGCAAGUCGAGCGAACAGACGAGGAGCUUGCUCCUCUGACGUUAGCGGCGGACGGGUGAGUAACACGUGGAUAACCUACCUAUAAGACUGGGAUAACUUCGGGAAACCGGAGCUAAUACCGGAUAAUAUAUUGAACCGCAUGGUUCAAUAGUGAAAGACGGUUUUGCUGUCACUUAUAGAUGGAUCCGCGCCGCAUUAGCUAGUUGGUAAGGUAACGGCUUACCAAGGCAACGAUGCGUAGCCGACCUGAGAGGGUGAUGGGCCACACUGGAACUGAGCCACGGUCCAGACUCCUACGGGAGGCAGCAGUAGGGAAUCUUCCGCAAUGGGCGAAAGCCUGACGGAGCAACGCCGCGUGAGUGAUGAAGGUCUUCGGAUCGUAAAACUCUGUUAUUAGGGAAGAACAAAUGUGUAAGUAACUAUGCACGUCUUGACGGUACCUAAUCAGAAAGCCACGGCUAACUACGUG
rnacentral:rRNA from 1 species